rnacentral:rRNA from 1 species
GAACGCUGGCGGCAGGCUUAACACAUGCAAGUCGAGCGGUAACAGGGGGUGCUUGCACCCCGCUGACGAGCGGCGGACGGGUGAGUAAUGCUUAGGAAUCUGCCCAGUAGUGGGGGAUAGCCCGGGGAAACCCGGAUUAAUACCGCAUACGUCCUACGGGAGAAAGCAGGGGAUCUUCGGACCUUGCGCUAUUGGAUGAGCCUAAGUCGGAUUAGCUAGUUGGUGGGGUAAAGGCCUACCAAGGCGACGAUCCGUAGCUGGUUUGAGAGGAUGAUCAGCCACAUCGGGACUGAGACACGGCCCGAACUCCUACGGGAGGCAGCAGUGGGGAAUAUUGGACAAUGGGGGCAACCCUGAUCCAGCCAUGCCGCGUGUGUGAAGGAGGCUUUCGGGUUGUAAAGCACUUUCAGUGAGGAGGAAAACCUUACGGUUAAUAACCGUGAGGCUUGACGUUACUCACAGGAGAAGCACCGGCUAACUCCGUGCCAGCAGCCGCGGUAAUACGGAGGGUGCAAGCGUUAAUCGGAAUUACUGGGCGUAAAGCGCGCGUAGGUGGUUCGAUAAGCGGGAUGUGAAAG